AAUACUUACCCCAACGGCAGCAUUAGUAGUCAAAAGCUCAAGUGCUGGCAAGAAACCUCUGUACACAAAAUCAACAAUAUUUGGAAUCAGACGGAAUAUCAUCAGAGGCUGGAAAGGUCUUAUAUAAGAGAAUUGGGUAAAGAAGUUCAAAGAAAAAGGCUGAUUCAGUAAACUCUUACGUGAGAGACUUUCCUUGAAAGAUGACUGGUGGAGCUACUGCAGCAAAUCCGCAGAAUGCAAUGUGAAACUGAAAGUGCAAGACAGUGUAAACAUCUAAAGCUUAGUGGUUUUAUUUUUUCAUGGCUUCCUGAGAAACCUCUGAUGCCGAGGAAAAUGUACCAUUUGGGGAUACGAUUUAUCUUACCACGUAAAAGAAAAAAAAAGCUCCAAACUUCAGGGCACUAUCAGUUCUGCAAUAGCUCGGUACAGAGGACGAUACCAUAAGACGUAAGCCCCAGGGACCCCAGCUAUGAAGUAGAUGAUUGACAUAAGCCAUAUAGUGGGACCUGAUAACAUUACAAUCACAUGAGUCAACAUGACAAGAGGACUUGUUGCAGCGGUCUAAGGUGGCCUUUACGUUACCUAACAGUGUGGUGAAUGCGACGUAUUGGAUCUUCUGUAAAUGGAGCGGAAUCUCAUUUGGAAUGUCAUUAUGAAUUAAAGGGAAAAACUCGGGCCAAUUCUUCUCCUCAAUGACUACUCCAGCUGCCAAAACCAACCUUAUCAGGUCUCGAAAUCUGUAGGUCACAUGGAAGCCAGAAAACUACCUGCUCUUUCCGCUUCAGUUCGUUCUCUUUAGCCUGGAGUUCCAUCUCCCUAGCUCGAAGAUCCUUCAAUCAGAAACAGCCAAAAUGAGAUCCGCCGUUUCAUUACUUUGAGCAAAGAACUGAAAGGCAAAAUGCAGAAGGUAUUGGUACCUUGCCGGAAUCCAAAGGGAUAUCAACGGUUGCACCGCGAUCAUAAGGUUCCGGUGGAAGCGGCUUGAGAUAUGAGUUGCUUGCAGCAGGAACAUUUGUAUAAUUCUACAACAUCAUAAAGUCAGAGAUCAAACGUGUAAGCUUACAAGAAAGAUCAGUAAUUGAUUCUUGAUUCAAGAAACAGAGGUCUUUUACCGCAAAUGGAUUGAUCUCUUCAUCAGCAAAUGGAUUAGGAUCAUGUCGUGCCAUCUUUGAGAUUUCGUCUUUAUCAAAUCAAGAGAUGUAUUCAAGAAAGAGUUUUGGAGGUCGUUGACAGAAAUCGAAAAUGCGGAGAAAGUGGUUUACAAUGAAUGGCUACUUUGUAGUCAGAGAAAGAGAGAAAACAAAAAGUAAUGGCAUAUGUGCGCGCCAGAGAGAUCCAAGGCAUUUUAACGGCUUCUCUCUUCGUUUUGUAACCAAUUUGUUUUUUCGUGGUCCGGUUUAGUAAUUUUUUCCGGUUUUGUAACUUGUAAUACAUGAACAUGUGUACUUUUAACAACCAGUGAGUUAACUAA